ACGCACAAGAACGCCUGCGCAAAUGCGCGCGCGGAAGGCCAGGCCUGGCGGACACAGGAAUUUUCGGGUUUUGGCUCGCACUUACGUGGGGCGCGGGCUUAAAGGCAUUGCAGUUAGCUGUCAGCAUGUUGCGCGUGGUGAGCUGGAACAUCAAUGGGAUUCGCAGCCCCGUGCAAGGGGUGGGAAACGAGGAGCCCAGCAAUUGUACCGCCAUGGCCAUGGGGCGCAUUUUGGACAAGCUGGAUGCUGACAUCGUCUGUCUUCAGGAGACCAAAGUAACCAGGGAUGUGCUGACAGAGCCCCUGGCUAUCAUUGAGGGCUGUAACUCCUAUUUCAGCUUCAGCCGCAACCGUAGUGGCUAUUCUGGUGUAGCCACCUUCUGUAAGGACAGUGCUACCCCAGUGGCUGCUGAAGAAGGCCUGAGUGGCCUACUUGCCACUCAGAAUGGGGACGUGGGUUGCUACGGAAACAUGGAUGACUUCACUCAAGAGGAGCUUCGAGCUCUGGAUAGUGAGGGCCGGGCCCUCCUCACACAACACAAGAUCUGCACAUGGGAAGGGAAGGAGAAGACCUUGACCCUAAUCAACGUGUACUGCCCCCAUGCGGACCCUGGGAAGCCUGAGCGGCUCGCCUUUAAGAUGCGCUUCUAUCGCUUGCUGCAGAUCCGAGCAGAAGCCCUCCUGGCAGCUGGCAGCCAUGUUAUCAUUCUGGGGGACCUGAAUACAGCUCACCGCCCCAUUGACCACUGGGAUGCAGUCAACCUGGAAUGCUUUCAAGAGGACCCAGGUCGCAAGUGGAUGGACCACUUGCUCAGUAACCUGGGGUGCCAGGCUGGUUCCCAUACGGGACCCUUCAUUGAUAGCUACCGAUGCUUCCAUCCAAAGCAGAAGGGGGCCUUCACCUGCUGGUCCACAGUCAGUGGCGCCCGCCAUCUGAACUAUGGCUCUCGGCUUGACUAUGUGCUGGGAGACAGGACCCUGGUCAUGGACACCUUUCAGGCCUCCUUCUUGCUGCCUGAGGUGAUGGGCUCUGACCACUGCCCCGUGGGUGCAGUCUUAAGCGUGUCUUCUGUGCCGGCAAAACAGUGCCCACCUCUGUGCACCCGCUUCCUCCCUGAGUUUGCAGGCACCCAGCUCAAGAUCCUUAGAUUCCUAGUUCGUCUCGAACAAGAUCCUGUGUUCAGGCAGUCAGCGCUGCAGCUCAGCAAUCAAACACCGGUACAGAUGCGCCAAAACAAAGCCCGUGUGCGCUCGACCAGGUCUCGGCCAAGUCAAGCUGGUUCCAGUAGAGGCCAAAAAAACCUGAUGAGCUACUUCCAGCCAUCCUCCAGUCGUCCCCAAGCUUCUUCUAACUUGGAGCUUCCUAGCCUGGGCACCCUCAUGACCCCAAAGACCUCAGAAGAGGAUGUGAUGGCCAAUGUGGUGGAGGGGCGGGCCAAGGCUUCAGAGGCCAAGGAUGAAAAGGAGCUCCCCAACUCCUUGUUGGACGUUCUUGGAAAGUCACUUCCCCUCUUUGGGUCUCAGCUUUCAUCAGCUGUCAAAUGUAUUUAUGUCUACCUCAUAUGGUAGGUAAUGAAUUGGAUUUGAUGCCUACCUUAUAUCUGGAGAUAUGAGUUUCCCUUCUCCUGCCUUCCUGCAAAGGCUAAACUGCUUGGAACUGAGCCUGCAGACCACAGAUAAGGCUCCCAGAGUUUAUCACGUUUAGGGUCUGACCACUCCCGAAGCUGAGACCAGGGUGUGGAAGAGAAGAGGAGUUCCUUUCUAGAAUCAUGUCUGUGCAUCUGGCUGGGGCUGACCCUAGCUAUUGGUGGUGAGGGGGGCGGAUGGCCCAGGGAGAGGAGGCAAAGCAGAUGGCCAGGUUCCAGGCUCCUGCAAAUUCCUUUCCCCAACAUUAACAACAAUAAUGACAACAUUGGGGUAUGUAAUGUGAAGAAAAACCCCCAAGAUUGGAAGCAAAGUCCAGUCCUGCCUUUGGAUGAUGGUGAAUCCCACCCCCAGGUAUAAAAACAGAAGUUCAGUACACACAUCAUCUCUAAGGGGCUUUCGGCCAUGAUAUUCUCAGGGACCUGGGAAAAUAUAGGCUACUUCUUGGAAUUUGUUGAAUUAUCAAGUUCUUUCAAGCUUCAGUUCCAGUUUCUCUGUUCUGGCACUCCUUUCCUGGAAUUUGCCCUGCCUCACUCUGCCUGCCCAUCUUGGGCUCUGUUUCCAUUCUAUCUUACUACCUAUCAUGAGACUGGAGAGAGUAAAAUCAAAUCAAAGGAGUAUUUUAGGCAAUUUAGGGUAUUAAGAGCACAGCCUCUGGAGCCAGACUACUUGCAUUUGAAUCCUGGCUCUACCACUCACUAGCUCUGGGACAUUAGAAAAGUCAUGUCUCUGCUCUAUGUCUUAUAUCUUUAAAAUGUAGAUAAUAACAAGGACAAUCUACUUCACAGGGAUGUUGUGAAGAUCCAGUAAGAUAAUCUAUAUAAAGUAUAUAGAAGAGUGCCUAUCCUAGAGUAAAUGCUGAAAAAGUGUUAUCUGUUCUUUUUUAUAUUCUACAUUUUCUAUGUAGGGAAAGUGAAGGUAUAGUCAAGGGAAGUAACAUCAUGAAUACACCAGACCAGGUCUGGAAACUUGAUUCUUGUCUCAAUCCUGAUUCUUGUCCUGAUUCUGUUACAACUUACUAUAUGAACUUGGGCUCUGUAUUUUCCCUCUCUGGGCCUCAGUUUCUCCAAAAACAUUGGACUAGAUAGCUCCAUAGAUUCCAUCUGGUUCUACCAGUCAAACACUCACAGAGUUCUCACUGUGCCAUACCCCUUUGUAAAUGCUUCACAUACAUUGACUUAUUUAAUCUUCAUGACAACCCUGUGAGUUAUAUACUAAUAUCAACUUUAUUUCAAAGAUGAGGAAACUGAGGGCCCAAAAGAUUAAGUAACCUGUUCAGGUCACAGAGCUACUAAGUAGGAGAACCAGGAUUUGAACCUAGUCAAUCUGGUUCCAGAGCCUACUAACUUAACCACUAUGGAUCUAUGAUUCUAAUAUUACUACACAUUAUCCUGACUGAGAGCCUGACUCCAGGCAUAAAUCCACUCUCCUACACUAACAGGUCCCUUUCUGGGACACUUGAUUUUGAGUUGUAACCAAUGCCUUUACCACAGGAACAGAUUUCUAACUGAAGCGGAAUUUCAGGCACUGGUGAACAUUCAUUCAUUCAUACAUUCAUUCAUUCCAUUAUUUAACAACUUAUGCACCAAUCUUUGCCGGGGUCUUCUUAAAACAAUGCUUUUACCCAAGGAGGUAACUGUGAAAUUUUGGACCAAGUGAUAGAGCAUUACUAGAAGAUUUUCCCUACACCUUAAAAUCCUCUCUCGUGUCAGCAGCCAAUCUGCAGUCCCAGAGAUCAGAGGGGCCAACCACAACUCUACCCCAGGAGAGAGCCAGAAACCACUCAUUGCAGCGUUCCUCGAUCUCUCUCUCCCCUUUGUGGCCUGCUUUGAAAGAAUCAGGCAGCAGGACGAUGUCAUAACCAGGCAAUUUCAUCUGUGGAGCAGAUUAUCAUCAUUAAUAGUAUAUUAACAUAAAUGGAAUCAUACUCUAUAAUGAUUUGCAAUUUCCUUUUUUUCUAUUUGACCACAUGGCAAUAUGCCAUGUAGUUCUUUCCAUAUAAAUUCUUUCUUUUUUGUGGAGUCAUACUAUUCAAGAAUCUGAAUGUUAACAUUAUUUAAACACUCACUUAUUAAUGGAAAUUUAAGUUACUUCCAGGGAUUUCCCCCAUCCAUUAUGAAUAAUGUUGCAAUAAAUAUCUUUGGGCUUAUGUGAGGAUAUUUUUUAUAUGGUAGAAUCCUAAAAAAAUUCCUGGGUCAAAGGAUAUAUAGACAUUAAAAUUUUUGAUACUGCUAAUUUGCCCUAUACAUUUGCUAUACAUUCCCAAUAAUGGUGCAUAAGAGUGUGUGUGUCUGGUCUCUCAUAAACUUGCCAACACCAUUUAAAAAAUUUAAUUAAUUACUUAACUGAAAUAUACUUAAUUUACAAUAUUAUAACUAAUUUUUAUUAUUUCCUUCCUUCUGCUAACUUUGGAUUUAGUUUGCUAUUUUAAUUUCCUAUUUCCUUAAGGUGUAGAGUUAGGUUAUUGGUUUGAUAUAUUGUUUCUUUUUAAAAAUAUGUUUUUAUAACUAUAAAUCUCUGAGCACUGCCUUGCUGCAUCCCAUAUGUUUUGAUAGGUUGUAUUUUCAUUUUAAUCCAUUUCUAAGUAUUUUCUAAUUUCCCUUGUGAUGUAUUCUUUGACCUACUGAUUGUUUAAUAGUGUGUUGUUCCAUUUCCACAUACUUGUGAAUUUUCCAGUUUCACUUGUUAUUGAUUUUCAGUUUCAUUCCUUUGUCACCACAAAAGAUAUUUCGUAAGAUUUUAUUCUUUUUAAAUUAACUGAGACUUGGGGCUCAAUUUAUGGUGUAUCCUGGAGAAUGCUCCAUGUGCACUUGAGAAAAAUAUGUAUUCUGCUAUUGCCAGCAGAGCAUUCUGUAUAUAUUAUUUGUUCUAGUUGGUUUAUAGUGUUUUGCAAGUUCUCUAUUAUUGAUCUUCUGUUUAUGGGUUGUUGUUCUACCCAUUACUGACAGUGGAGUAUUGAAGUAUAGAACUAUUAUUGUAGAACUAUUUCUCCCUUCUGUUUUGCCUGGUUUUGCUUCAUAUAUUUUGUGAUGGUCUUGUUAGUUGUGUGUAUGUUUAUAAUUAUAGCUCCUUGGUGAAUUGACCUUUUAAUCAAUAUGUAAUGUCCUUCUUUGUACCUUGAAACACAUUUUGAAUUAAAGUCUGUUUAGUAUGAUAUUUGUAUAACUACCCCAGUUCUCUUUUAGUUACUAUUUGCGUGGAGUAUUCUUUCCAUAAUUUCACUUUCAACCUACCAGUUUCUUUUGAUUAAAAUGAGUCUCUUGUAGGCAGCAUAUAGUUCGAUCAUAAUUUUUUCAUCCAUUCUGCCAAUCUAUGCCUUUUGAUUACAGAGUUUACUCUAUUUACAUUUAAACUUAUUACUGAUAAGGAAGAAUUUGCUUCAGCCAUUUUGCUAUUUUUUUCUAUAUGUCUUAUAGCUUUUCCUUCCUCAUUACCUCCAUUACUGCCUUCAUUUGCGUUUAAUUGAUUUUUUGUUGUUGUGUUCCAUUUUGGUUCCCUUCUCAUUUUCCUUUUUGUGUAUUUUGAGUUAUUUUCUUCGUGGUUAUCCUGAGGAUUAUAAGUAACAUAUUGAAUUCAUAACAUUUUAGUUUGAAUUAAUACUAACAGCUUCAGUAGCAUGCAAAACUCUGCUCUUAUGCUCCUAGACACCUCUGUCCUUUCCCCUUUAUGAUGUUAUUGUCAUAACUUACAUCUUUAUACAAUGUGUAUCCACUAGCAUUGACUUAUAAUUAUUGUUUUAUGAAUUUGUCUUUCAAAUCAUAUAGUAAAAAAGAAAAGUUACAAACCAAUAAUAAAAUAAUACUGAAUUUUAUAUUUACCUAUUUAA